UCCUGCCAGUAGUCAUAUGCUUGUCUCAGAGAUUAAGCCAUGCAUGUCCAAGUACAUACCUUCAAACGGUGAAACCGCGAAUGGCUCAUUAAAUCAGCUAUGGUUCCUUAGAUCGUACAUACUACAUGGAUAACUGUAGUAAUUCUAGAGCUAAUACAUGCCACUAUGCCCUGACCCGCGAGGGGACGGGUGGAUUUAUUAGAACAGAACCAACCGGGUGUGGCCUUGGCCGCGCCUGUUGCAUUCUGUGAUGACUCUGGAUAACUUCACUGAUCGCAGUCGGCCUUGUGUCGGCGACGGAUCCUUCAAAUGUCUGCCCUAUCAAUUUACGAUGGUAGGUGACCUGCCUACCAUGGUUCUAACGGGUAACGGGGAAUCAGGGUUCGAUUCCGGAGAGGGAGCCUGAGAAACGGCUACCACUUCCAAGGAAGGCAGCAGGCACGCAAAUUACCCACUCCCGGCACGGGGAGGUAGUGACGAAAAAUACGGAUACGGGACUCACUCGAGGCUCCGUAAUUCGAAUGAGUACAAUCUAAAGCCUUUAACGAGGACCAAUUGGAGGGCAAGUCUGGUGCCAGCAGCCGCGGUAACUCCAGCUCCAAAAGCGUAUAUUAAAGUUGCUGCAGUUAAAAAGCUCGUAGUUGGAUCUGGGUCGCGCGUUCACAUGUCGUCGCUUGCGAUUGGCUUCGGUUAGUUGCAAGUGAUGGUUACGUGGUCGUGCAGCCUUUCAGCCGUGUCUGCGUGAGCAGGUGUUGGCUGGCCGGUAAGCUUGCUUGCUGGUUAGUUGACAUGUUUYCUGAUGCCUUUAAACGGGUGUCGGGGGCGUACGGCACUUUUACUUUGAACAAAUUUGAGUGCUCAAAGCAGGCCCAUGUGCCUGAAAAGUCUUGCAUGGAAUAAUAUAAUAGGACUUCGGUUCUAUUUUGUUGGUUUCCGGAUCCGAAGUAAUGGUUAAGAGGAACAGACGGGGGCAUUUGUAUGGCGGCGUGAGAGGUGAAAUUCAGUGAUCGUCGCCAGACAAACUACAGCGAAAGCAUUUGCCAAGAAUGUUUUCAUUGAUCAGGAGCGAAAGUCAGAGGUUCGAAGACGAUCAGAUACCGUCCUAGUUCUGACCAUAAACGAUGCCAACUGACAAUCCGCGGCGGUUCUUUAAUUGGCCCCGCGGGCAGUCCCCGGGAAACCCUUAAGUCUUUGGGCUCCGGGGGAAGUAUGGUUGCAAAGCUGAAACUUAAAGGAAUUGACGGAAGGGCACCACCAGGAGUGGAGCCUGCGGCUUAAUUCGACUCAACACGGGAAAACUCACCCGGCCCGGACACUGUGAGGAUUGACAGAUUGAUAGCUCUUUCUUGAUUCGGUGGUUGGUGGUGCAUGGCCGUUCUUAGUUGGUGGAGCGAUUUGUCUGGUUAAUUCCGAUAACGAACGAGACUUUGGCCUGCUAAAUAGUAUGCCUGUCCUCUGUGCACGUGCGGGUUGCGGUGUCCAUUGCUCCUUUGGGGUGGUGGUGCCGUCAGCCGGCGGGUACGGCGCAGGUACUUACUUCUUAGAGGGACAAGCGGCCCAUAAGUCGCAUGAAAUUGAGCAAUAACAGGUCUGUGAUGCCCUUAGAUGUCCGGGGCCGCACGUGCGCUACAAUGACGGUUUCAGCGAGUUUGGAAUCCUGGCCUGAGCAGGUUGGGUAAACUGUAUCAUAACCGUCGUGACUGGGAUCGGGGCUUGCAAUUGUUCCCCGUGAACGAGGAAUUCCUGGUAAGUGCAAGUCAUAAGCUUGCGCUGAUUACGUCCCUGCCCUUUGUACACACCGCCCGUCGCUACUACCGAUUGAAUGGUUUAGCAAGGUCCUCGGAUUGGUGCCAUUGUAGUGGUUUCGGCCGCUCGACCGGUGCUGAGAAGACGACCAAACUUGAUCAUUUAGAGGAAGUAAAAGUCGUAACAAGGUUUCCGUAGGUGAACCUGCGGAAGG
rnacentral:rRNA from 1 species